rnacentral:rRNA from 1 species
ACUCGACGGACGAACGGACCUGGCGGCCGUUCGGCUUACUAACACUAGCAAGUCGAACGGAGUACCCUCGAAGAGAUUCGGUCGAAUGGAGAGGACUACUUAGUUGGCGGACGGGUGAGUAACGACUGGGGAACCUGCCUUUCAGUGGGGACGAACAGUUGGAACGACUGCUAAUACCGCAUAACGUACUGGUAUCGCAUGGUACUGGUACCAAAGAUUUAUCGCUGAGAGAUGGCCUCGCGUCUGAUUAGCUAGUUGUAGGGUAACGGCUACCAAGGCGACGAUCAGUAGCCGGACUGAGAGUUGGCCGGCCACAUUGGGACUGAGAUACGGCCCAGACUCCUACGGGAGGCAGCAGUGGGGAAUAUUGGGCAAUGGGCGCAAGCCUGACCCAGCAACGCCGCGUGAAGGAAGAAGGCUUUCGGGUUGUAAACUUCUUUUGACAGGGAAGAGCAGAAGACGGUACCUGUCGAAUAAGCCACGGCUAACUACGUG